GACAGAGGAUGCAAGCGUUAUUCGGAAUUACUGGGCGUAAAGCGCACGUAGGCGGCUUUGUAAGUAAGAGGUGAAAGCCCAGAGCUCAACUCUGGAAUUGCCUUUUAGACUGCAUCGCUUGAAUCAUGGAGAGGUCAGUGGAAUUCCAAGUGUAGCGGUGGAAUGACGUAGAGAUCGGAAAGAACACCAACGGCGAAAGCACUCUGCUGGGCCGACACUGACACUGAGAGACGAAAGCUAGGGGAGCGAAUGGG
rnacentral:rRNA from 1 species